rnacentral:rRNA from 1 species
AUUGAACGCUGGCGGCAGGCCUAACACAUGCAAGUCGAGCGGAGCGGCGGACGGGUGCGUAAUGCCUAGGAAUCUGCCUGUUAGUGGUGGAUAACGUCCGCUAACGGGCGCUAAUACCGCAUCCUUUCAGUUUUGCCUCGGUCGGAUUAGCUUGUUGGUGGGGUAAAGGCCUACCAAGGCGACGAUCCGUAACUGGUCUGAGAGGAUGAUCAGUCACACUGGAACUGAGACACGGUCCAGACUCCUACGGGAGGCAGCAGUGGGGAAUAUUGGACAAUGGGCGAAAGCCUGAUCCAGCCAUGCCGCGUGUGUGAAGAAGGUCUUCGGAUUGUAAAGCACUUUAAGUUGGGAGGCGUUACCAACAGAAUAAGCACCGGCUAACUUCGUGCCAGCAGCCGCGGUAAUUC